rnacentral:rRNA from 1 species
UACGUAGGGUGCAAGCGUUGUCCGGAAUUAUUGGGCGUAAAGAGCUCGUAGGCGGUUUGUCGCGUCCGCUGUGAAAACUCAGGGCUUAACCCUGAGCCUGCAGUGGGUACGGGCAGACUAGAGUGUGGUAGGGGAGAUCGGAAUUCCUGGUGUAGCGGUGGAAUGCGCAGAUAUCAGGAGGAACACCGGUGGCGAAGGCGGAUCUCUGGGCCAUAACUGACGCUGAGGAGCGAAAGCAUGGGGAGCGAACAGG